rnacentral:rRNA from 1 species
UAGGGAAUCUUCGGCAAUGGACGGAAGUCUGACCGAGCAACGCCGCGUGAGUGAAGAAGGUUUUCGGAUCGUAAAGCUCUUUUGUUAGAGAAGAACGUUGGUAGGAGUGGAAAAUCUACCAAGUGACGGUAACUAACCAGAAAGGGACGGCUAACUACGUGCCAGCAGCCGCGGUAAUACGUAGGUCCCGAGCGUUGUCCGGAUUUAUUGGGCGUAAAGCGAGCGCAGGCGGUUCUUUAAGUCUGAAGUUAAAGGCAGUGGCUUAACCAUUGUACGCUUUGGAAACUGGAGGACUUGAGUGCAGAAGGGGAGAGUGGAAUUCCAGGUGUAGCGGUGAAAUGCGUAGAUAUAUGGAGGAACACCGGUGGCGAAAGCGGCUCUCUGGGCUGUAACUGACGCUGAGGCUCGAAAGCGUGGGGAGCAAACAGG